GGGCUGUGUGAGGUUAAUCUGGCUAUGGCAUCUGUCACCCUGAUCACUAUGACUGAUCUGGCUGACUUUGAUGGAUCAGCAGGUGCCCUUUCCUCCCUAACCACUCCCUGUGCAUUCCUUUUAAACUUGGAUGCUCAAAAGGUGAGGAUGACCUUCCUAGAUAGAAAACUGCUCUUCUGUCAAGAGUACAAUGACUUUGCUCCCUCACUAAAACCUCCAAACAAGCUCUCAAGGAAGUGGGUCACUGAUAGACAGUCCGUGGGUCAUCUUGUUCUGGUUUCUC
rnacentral:snRNA from 1 species